rnacentral:tmRNA from 1 species
GGGGCUGAUUCUGGAUUCGACGGGAUUUGCGAAACCCAAGGUGCAUGCCGAGGGGCGGUUGGCCUCGUAAAAAGCCGCAAAAAAUAGUCGCAAACGACGAAAACUACGCUUUAGCAGCUUAAUAACCUGCUUAGAGCCCUCUCUCCCUAGCCUCCGCUCUUAGGACGCGGAUCAAGAGAGGUCAAACCCAAAAGAGAUCGCGUGGAAGCCCUGCCUGGGGUUGAAGCGUUAAAACUUAAUCAGGCUAGUUUGUUAGUGGCGUGUCCGUCCGCAGCUGGCAAGCGAAUGUAAAGACUGACUAAGCAUGUAGUACCGAGGAUGUAGGAAUUUCGGACGCGGGUUCAACUCCCGCCAGCUCCACCA